GGCAGAGGAGCCAAGCGUUGUCCGGAUUGACUGGGCGUAAAGCGCACGCAGGCGGCCGUGCACGUGGGGUGUGAAAGCGCUCGGCUUAACUGAGCGAUGCCACCUCAUACGGCAGGGCUCGAGCCCGUGAGAGGUCCACGGAAUUGCCGGUGUAGUGGUGAAAUGCGUAGAGAUCGGCAGGAACACCCAGGGGGAAACCAGUGGACUGGCACGGUGCUGACGCUCAGGUGCGAAAGCGUGGGGAGCGAACCGG
rnacentral:rRNA from 1 species